UGAGGCAGGAGAAUUGCUUGAACCUGGGAGGCAAAGGUUGCGGUGAGCCGAGAUUGUGCCACUGCACUCCAGCCUGGGUGACAGAGUGAGACUCUGUCUUUUAAAAAAAAAAAGAUAUUUCCCUUUUGAAAAAUCUUUGGAUAUUUAUUUAUUUGAAACAGAGUCUAGCUCUGUUGUCCAGGCUGGAGUGCAAUGACGCAAUCUCUGCUCACUGCAACCUCUGCCUCCCAGGUUCAUCUCCUGCCUCAGCCUCCUGAGUAGCUGAGAUUACAGGCAUGCGCCACCAUGCCCGGC
rnacentral:SRP_RNA from 1 species